AGCGAACGCUGGCGGCAGGCCUAAAACAUGCAAGUCGAACGCCGUAGCAAUACGGAGUGGCAGACGGGUGAGUAACACGUGGGAACGUGCCUUUUGGUUCGGAACAACACAGGGAAACUUGUGCUAAUACCGGAUAAGCCCUUACGGGGAAAGAUUUAUCGCCAAAAGAUCGGCCCGCGUCUGAUUAGCUAGUUGGUGGGUAACGGCCCACCAAGGCUACGAUCAGUAGCUGGUCUGAGAGGAUGAUCAGCCACACUGGGACUGAGACACGGCCCAGACUCCUACGGGAGGCAGCAGUUAGGAAUCUUGGACAAUGGGCGCAAGCCUGAUCCAGCCAUGCCGCGUGAGUGAUGAAGGCCUUAGGGUUGUAAAGCUCUUUCAGCGGGGAAGAUAAUGACGGUACCCGCAGAAGAAGCCCCGGCUAACUUCGUGCCAGCCGCCGCCGUAA
rnacentral:rRNA from 1 species